UGGGCGCUGGAGAACUGAGGGGGGCUGCUCCUAGUACGAGAGGACCGGAGUGGACGCAUCACUGGUGUUCGGGUUGUCAUGCCAAUGGCACUGCCCGGUAGCUAAAUGCGGAAGAGAUAAGUGCUGAAAGCAUCUAAGCACGAAACUUGCCCCGAGAUGAGUUCUCCCUGACCCUUUAAGGGUCCUGAAGGAACGUUGAAGACGACGACGUUGAUAGGCCGGGUGUGUAAGCGCAGCGAUGCGUUGAGCUAACCGGUACUAAUGAACCGUGAGGCUUAACCUUACAACGCCGAAGCUGUU
rnacentral:rRNA from 1 species